rnacentral:lncRNA from 1 species
AAAACUAAAUUCAGGCAAGCUUAAAUUCUUUACUUCAUACCCUGGAAAGUAAGCAGAUCUCACUUGGUGGGGGUAAGGAAGCUAUCUUUAUCUCCAUCUCUCCAGAGCUGUCUGCUUUUAUAAGUAUUUCUGACAAACUAGUCUUGGAGCAAAAUAGCUAUUAAUGCCUAGAUAAGUAGAUUCAUAUAGAAUAGUCUGCCAACAACUAGGUUUUGCUUUGCAUUUGAUAAAACUUAUCUCUUAAGAUUCUCAUUCCCCAAUUCCUAGCCUUUCAGGUGGACUAGAGUCCUUUCACUGCAGAAAGAUCUGCGGAAAAUGAUCAGCCUACCUCUUUAACAUCUAUGUUGGUCAUCAUAAAAGUCUUUCCACAUUAGUUA